AUAGCCGCCCGAAAGGACGGGUAAUACCGGAUACCCCGGGGUGCCGCAUGGCACCCCGGCUAAAGCCCCGACGGGAGGGGAUGGCUCCGCGGCCCAUCAGGUAGACGGCGGGGUGACGGCCCACCGUGCCGACAACGGGUAGCCGGGUUGAGAGACCGACCGGCCAGAUUGGGACUGAGACACGGCCCAGACUCCUACGGGAGGCAGCAGUGGGGAAUCUUGCGCAAUGGGGGGAACCCUGACGCAGCGACGCCGCGUGCGGGACGGAGGCCUUCGGGUCGUAAACCGCUUUCAGCAGGGAAGAGUCAAGACUGUACCUGCAGAAGAAGCCCCGGCUAACUACGUGCCAGCAGCCGCGGUAAUACGUAGGGGGCGAGCGUUAUCCGGAUUCAUUGGGCGUAAAGCGCGCGUAGGCGGCCCGGCAGGCCGGGGGUCGAAGCGGGGGGCUCAACCCCCCGAAGCCCCCGGAACCUCCGCGGCUUGGGUCCGGUAGGGGAGGGUGGAACACCCGGUGUAGCGGUGGAAUGCGCAGAUAUCGGGUGGAACACCGGUGGCGAAGGCGGCCCUCUGGGCCGAGACCGACGCUGAGGCGCGAAAGCUGGGGGAGCGAACAGGAUUAGAUACCCUGGUAGUCCCAGCCGUAAACGAUGGACGCUAGGUGUGGGGGGACGAUCCCCCCGUGCCG
rnacentral:rRNA from 1 species